UGAAGCAUCACCUGGCGCCAAGGAAAGGCAGUCAUUAUUUAAAUCACAUUCUGACAUAAGCUGUGCUGAAGUCUCACUUGGCAUCUUCUUCUCAGGCAAAAUCACUACCUUCAAGAAUGGUUUAAAUCAGACGAAGUACUUUUGCAUACAGGUGCAAGAAGAGUAGAGAAGAGAGGGAUAUGAUGAGCCCUGGAUUGCGACUUGGCCACCAAAAGGAGCAGAUGGAAAGAAAUCCAACUGGGAGGGCAGAAGCGGAGAGCGUGAGAUGGCCUGGGGAGAAAGCCUUCACUACAGCACCAAGGUAUAAACAACUCUUGUCUGCACCCUGGGAAGUGCUAAGGAGAGAAGCUUGUGCUGAGCACCUGCUAUAUAUGUGGGGUGACUCCUGCCCCAGGCUGGGGGAGACAUAGAGGAAGCAGAAUGGCAAUACCUGUAACAGAAGGUUGAAUCCCUGGCACAAGAACUGAAGAGACUCUUGUGAAAGGACAGUGGGAGAAACUGUGUCUGAUGACUAUUCCUGAUAAAACACUAAGGAAGAGUAUUCACUAUGAUCCAAAGCCUGAUCUGCUGAGAACUGAGGGGAAGCAAAGCUUGUCUGUGCUUCUGGCAAGCUGCAUGCUGGCUGAAAACAAUAGACUGUCCUACAGGCCAUUCUCGUGAUUCACUGGAUGACAUAGUUGUUGUCCCAAAACACUGUCCUUUGGGGAUUAGAAGACGAAAUAUGUAUGUGCAAAGACUAAAAAUACCUCUGCAUCCCUUGUGACUGCCUGACAAAAGGACAGCUUCAGCAGAUGUACCUACGCAGCAGGUCUGGGUCCUGCAGAGAAGACACUUCUCUGUGCUUGCAGUGUUCAUCAUUACACAGUAAGAGACUGUUAAAAAUAGCCUGUACUACACGUCUUUUAAGAUCAGUCAAGGAGGACUUACAAAACCAUCCCAGGUGCCUUUUUACACAUGCAGCUGUGUAUGUGUUGUUUUUCCUGGUUUAUACAAGUUGAGAAGUGAUUGAAGACAUAAUUUGUAGCAUGGUGUAAGAUAUAAAAUAAAUAAUCAGGUGUCCCCUAAAUACCUGAUUUUUAACUCUGCUUCUAAGGUGGGAUCUGAUGUUUACUGCAACAUGGAGAAUGAGACAGUAGGGGUAUUUUAGUUUGUCAAGUAAAGCUUUGCCAGCUUUAUUGCUAUCAUCUAGUAAAUAAAACAAGCCAUGUUAUUGAAGCA